AUGAACGCUGGCGGCGUGCUUAACACAUGCAAGUCGAACGGGAAACCUUUUAUUGAAGCUUCGGCAGAUUUAGCUGGUUUCUAGUGGCGGACGGGUGAGUAACGCGUGGGUAACCUGCCCUAUACAGGGGGAUAACAACCAGAAAUGGUUGCUAAUACCGCAUAAGCGCACAGGGCCGCAUGGUCCGGUGUGAAAAACUCCGGUGGUAUAGGAUGGACCCGCGUUGGAUUAGCCAGUUGGCAGGGUAACGGCCUACCAAAGCGACGAUCCAUAGCCGGCCUGAGAGGGUGAACGGCCACAUUGGGACUGAGACACGGCCCAGACUCCUACGGGAGGCAGCAGUGGGGAAUAUUGCACAAUGGGGGAAACCCUGAUGCAGCGACGCCGCGUGAAGGAAGAAGUAUCUCGGUAUGUAAACUUCUAUCAGCAGGGAAGAUAGUGACGGUACCUGACUAAGAAGCCCCGGCCAACUACGUG
rnacentral:rRNA from 1 species